rnacentral:rRNA from 1 species
UACAGAGGGUGCGAGCGUUAAUCGGAAUUACUGGGCGUAAAGCGUGCGUAGACGGUUAUUUAAGUCGGAUGUGAAAGCCCUGGGCUCAACCUAGGAAGUGCACUCGAAACUGCAGAGCUUGAGUCUCGGAGAGGGUCGCGGAAUUCUCGGUGUAGAGGUGAAAUUCGUAGAUAUCGAGAGGAACACCGGUGGCGAAGGCGGCGACCUGGACGAUGACUGACGCUGAGACGCGAAAGCGUGGGGAGCAAACAGG